UUUCUUGGUUCCAUUAGAGGAAGUAAAAGUCGUAACAAGGUUUCCGUAGGUGAACCUGCGGAAGGAUCAUUACCGAGUGGCCCAAGUCCGCAAGGACCGGUUACCCGACCUCUUGUCAUUUGCUCUGGGGUCGCCGGCAAGGUUCGGCCCGCACUUCCUCCAUGUGGGGUUGGGCGGGUCGCGCCGAACUGGCGGCCUCAGCUUCGAUAACUUCGGCGGAAGUGGUAGGUUCGACCUGCCCGCCGCCGGCCGUAUUCAACCUGCAAGUAAUUUUGAAGUCUGAUUUGAAUCAUAAUGAAAAGCAAAACUUUCAACAACGGAUCUCUUGGCUCUGGCAACGAUGAAGAACGCAGCGAAACGCGAAAGGUAAUGCGAAUUGCAGAAUCAGUGAGUCAUCGAAUUUUUGAACGCACAUUGCACCCCUUGGUAUUCCGGGGGGUACGCCUGUUCGAGCGCCAUCACACACCCCAAGCUCUGCUUGAUGUUGGACGAUGCCUUGGCCCUUUUGGGCUGGGGCACGUCUGGAACCCGUGGGCGCCCCCGCCGAACCACGAGCGUAGCAAGACGCAAGUCACUCGCUUCUGUCGGUCUCGGUGGAGGGUCUGCCUAAUCCAUUUCUGAAGAUUGGCCUCGGAUCAGGUGGGGAUACCCGCUGAACUUAAGCAU
rnacentral:rRNA from 1 species